GUGUGUGUGUGUGUGUGUGUGUGAAGGGAGAGAGGAGGGAGAUUAUUAUUCUUCUUCUUCCUUUUUCUUGAUGUUAAAGAGAGGGAGAUUCAUCUGUCCUAGACUACCUAGGUUCAGAUUUUAGGGAUGCAUUGUCCAAGAAUGAACCUAGAACAUCUAGUUGUAAGUAGUUUUGCUUGCACUAAAUCACCCAGUUUUGGAUUUUAGAGAUGCAUGCAGCAUCCAAGAAUCGAACCUAGAACCUCUAGUUGCUAAGCAGAGAGGUGUCAUCACCAAAUCAAACCCUGAUUCACUUUGAAUGCAGCUGCUCCUUGGAG
rnacentral:lncRNA from 1 species